CCUACGGGAGGCAGCAGUGAGGAAUAUUGGUCAAUGGGCGCGAGCCUGAACCAGCCAAGUCGCGUGAGGGAAGACGGUCCUAUGGAUUGUAAACCUCUUUUGUCGGGGAGCAAAAGACGACACGAGUGGCGUUCCGAGAGUACCCGAAGAAAAAGCAUCGGCUAACUCCGUGCCAGCAGCCGCGGUAAUACGGAGGAUGCGAGCGUUAUCCGGAUUUAUUGGGUUUAAAGGGUGCGCAGGCGGAAGAUCAAGUCAGCGGUAAAAUUGAGGGGCUCAACCUCAUCGUGCCGUUGAAACUGGUUUCCUUGAGUGCGCGAGAAGUAUGCGGAAUGCGUGGUGUAGCGGUGAAAUGCAUAGAUAUCACGCAGAACUCCGAUUGCGAAGGCAGCAUACCGGCGCUCAACUGACGCUCAUGCACGAAAGUGUGGGUAUCGAACAGGAUUAGAUACCCUUGUAGUC
rnacentral:rRNA from 1 species